GAGUUUGAUCCUGGCUCAGGAUGAACGCUGGCGGCGUGCCUAAUACAUGCAAGUCGAGCGAACAGAUGAGAAGCUUGCUUCUCUGAUGUUAGCGGCGGACGGGUGAGUAACACGUGGGUAACCUACCUAUAAGACUGGGAUAACUCCGGGAAACCGGGGCUAAUACCUGAUAAUAUUUUGAACCGCAUGGUUCAAUAGUGAAAGGCGGCUUCGGCUGUCACUUAUAGAUGGACCCGCGCCGUAUUAGCUAGUUGGUAAGGUAAUGGCUUACCAAGGCGACGAUACGUAGCCGACCUGAGAGGGUGAUCGGCCACACUGGAACUGAGACACGGUCCAGACUCCUACGGGAGGCAGCAGUAGGGAAUCUUCCGCAAUGGGCGAAAGCCUGACGGAGCAACGCCGCGUGAGUGAUGAAGGUUUUCGGAUCGUAAAACUCUGUUGUUAGGGAAGAACAAAUUUGUUAGUAACUGAACAAGUCUUGACGGUACCUAACCAGAAAGCCACGGCUAACUACGUGCCAGCAGCCGCGGUAAUACGUAGGUGGCAAGCGUUAUCCGGAAUUAUUGGGCCGUAAAGCGCGCGUAGGCGGUUUCUUAAGUCUGAUGUGAAAGCCCACGGCUCACCCGUGGAGGGUCAUUGGAAACUGGGGAACUUGAGUGCAGAAGAAGAGAGUGGAAUUCAUGUGUAGCGGUGAAAUGCC
rnacentral:rRNA from 1 species